CAGAUACAAAAGCUCUUAAGCAAAACCAAUGGGAAAGUAGUUAGUGAUGUUAUGACUUCUGCACCUCUUGUGGUGCGUGAAACUACUAACCUUGAAGAUGCUGCAAGGUUACUUCUUGUUACUAAAUACCGCAGGCUGCCAGUAGUCGACAGUUCGGGCAAAUUGGUUGGAAUCAUCACAAGAGGGAACGUCGUCAGAGCUGCUCUUGAGUUUAAGAAAAAUGUUGAAGGGAGUCUUUGAAGUGGAACUGUAGAUGAUCCUUUCCGAAGGUGGAACUUGAACAUAUUGCUAGUAGGCAAGCG
rnacentral:rRNA from 1 species